UCUCAUUCCUAUGGCUACUAUCUCAGUAAUUUGGAAGGAAAGGAACAACCGAAUGUUCAAGGGCACUAAAUCUUCUUUUGGUAGCACUGAAGAUUAUUGGUUCCAGAUCUUGAUUGUUUCGUCUAGAGGUCAAUCUGUCCUUUGUGGUGUGGAUCUUGGAGACAUCAUAGACGUUUUGCAUUCUUCUGAUAGAUCUAAGUACAGGGGUGGCACCCCCUAGUGGCUUCUUUACAAUAUUUCUCUUUUUCUUCCAUAAACAAAAUUCACAAUAUACAAGAGCACACAUUUGAAAGAGAAAACAGAAAUCAGGACAUACAGAGGUGAAACCGUAGCAAUCCUAAUUUUCUUUUUCCUUGCAGGCAAAAGUCAUAAAUAUUCUAUUCACAUAACAAGUAAUCCCACAAUGCAACUUCAGUACAAUCACCAAUACCAUUGCUUAAAAGAAUCAAAAAAAGUUUCUGUCACAAGUUGCCCAAACUUUUGCUUGCAAUUUCCGCUCUACCCAACCCUUAAAAAAGUUACUUCUAAAAGAAGAUGAAAGAGAAAGAAAGGAAGAUACUUUCAUUGAAGAGGAAAAUUUAAAUAAAAAAAAAAACAACUACAAUAACGACUAACGAGCAACUCCUUCAAUUCAGUAGUAAGUUACCCGACCAUUUGCUUCCCAUUCCCGUUCUGUGAAACACCAAAUGAAAUUCAAAAACAAAACCUUUAGCAUAUAUAUACUAUGCAACUUCCCAAUUAUGAACCCUAGUUUUCUCAGCUCCACAUGCCAAAUACAAUGAAUGAUCAGAGAAGCAGAAAAACGGACCUACGUGAUUGUUAUGAAGAGAGUCAACAGAGCCUCAGGUUCUUGAAAAUUCAGAUAUAGCAGUUGGAUUCUACGGCUGAGAAAUUUCAAGUUUCUUGGACCAGCUCCGAGUUUAAGAGGUUAGACUCCCCACCCAAAACCAGAAAGGAGCUCUACUUUUCCGUUUGAUGAUUUGGUUUCCCUUCUCUGUUUUCUGUUGCCUCAUUUUUUCUUCUCCAUUUCUCCUGUACCGUUUCUCUUCUGAAUUGCUUGAUGGGAUUAGACACAAGCCCGUAUAUCUAGCCAGGUCGCCAGACAAAAGGCCGGCCUCUGGAAAACAAUUCGGAACCAUGAGCAAGCUUUUUAGGGCUAGGACACAGUAAACUAAACAUAUAUAUUUAUAUGUACAUAUAUGUUUUGUUCAUGGAUUCAUAUGAAGCAAAAAUAAUAAUUUGGUUGCUAUACUUUUAAUUUUUAUUCAAAUUAAUUCUCAC
rnacentral:lncRNA from 1 species